rnacentral:rRNA from 1 species
CAGGUGCUAAUACCGGAUAAGAAAGCAGAUCGCAUGAUCAGCUUUUAAAAGGCGGCGUAAGCUGUCGCUAUGGGAUGGCCCCGCGGUGCAUUAGCUAGUUGGUAAGGUAAAGGCUUACCAAGGCGAUGAUGCAUAGCCGAGUUGAGAGACUGAUCGGCCACAUUGGGACUGAGACACGGCCCAAACUCCUACGGGAGGCAGCAGUAGGGAAUCUUCCACAAUGGACGCAAGUCUGAUGGAGCAACGCCGCGUGAGUGAAGAAGGUUUUCGGAUCGUAAAGCUCUGUUGUUGGUGAAGAAGGAUAGAGGUAGUAACUGGCCUUUAUUUGACGGUAAUCAACCAGAAAGUCACGGCUAACUACGUGCCAGCAGCCGCGGUAAUACGUAGGUGGCAGGCGUUGUCCGGAUUUAUUGGGCGUAAAGCGAGCGCAGGCGGAAAAAUAAGUCUGAUGUGAAAGCCCUCGGCUUAACCGAGGAACUGCAUCGGAAACUGUUUUUCUUGAGUGCAGAAGAGGAGAGUGGAACUCCAUGUGUAGCGGUGGAAUGCGUAGAUAUAUGGAAGAACACCAGUGGCGAAGGCGGCUCUCUGGUCUGCAACUGACGCUGAGGCUCGAAAGCAUGGGUAGCGAACAGGAUUAGAUACCCUGGUAGUCCAUGCCGUAAACGAUGAGUGCUAAGUGUUGGGAGGUUUCCGCCUCUCAGUGCUGCAGCUAACGC